rnacentral:rRNA from 1 species
GAUGAACGCUGGCGGCGUGCCUAAUACAUGCAAGUCGAGCGAACAGACGAGGAGCUUGCUCCUCUGACGUUAGCGGCGGACGGGUGAGUAACACGUGGAUAACCUACCUAUAAGACUGGGAUAACUUCGGGAAACCGGAGCUAAUACCGGAUAAUAUAUUGAACCGCAUGGUUCAAUAGUGAAAGACGGUUUUGCUGUCACUUAUAGAUGGUUCCGCGCCGCAUUAGCUAGUUGGUAAGGUAACGGCUUACCAAGGCAACGAUGCGUAGCCGACCUGAGAGGGUGAUCGGCCACACUGGAACUGGAACACGGUCCAGACUCCUACGGGAGGCAGCAGUAGGGAAUCUUACGCAAUGGGCGAAAGCAUGACGGAGCAACGCCGCGUGAGUGAUGAAGGUCUUCGGAUCGUAAAACUCUGUUAUUAGGGAAGAACAAAUGUGUAAGUAACUAUGCACGUCUUGACGGUACCUAAUCAGAAAGCCACGGCUAACUACGUG